GCUGAGGUAGCUCAGUCGACAGAGCGUGAGACCCUUAAUCUCAGGGGCGUGGGUUUGAACCCCAUGUUCGGCA